GUCUUCAACCUUUAUAAAGGUGCAUCACGUCUGUUUUACCAUUUUAAUUGCGCGAGCCAUCCACAAUGUCUUUUCGCUCCCAUUUAAUCCGUUUUAUUUCGUACAGCGCUAUAGGUCUCAAAUUUGUAGUAGGGGGCUAUAAUUUACUAACUGCAUCCAACCAGUGGAUUAACGGCCACGACGAAUCUGUGGGUCCCCUGCUUGUCGUUUGUGGCGCCCUCUUGGCGAUACUUUCCGGAAUCUUACUUUUCAUUGGAGCAUAUAUGAACGACCACACAUUUGUUUUGGCUUAUCUUUUAAUAACCAGCCCAGGGUUACUUCUCAUUACAGGGUACUUUGUAGCCAUGAGUUACUUCGCUAUUAUUUUUUGGGUAUUUUUGAUACUUGCAAUAAUCAUCGAAUGGCCAAUACACAUUGCAGUGUUUCUGUUUUACCUAGAGUUAAAAGAGAAAUACAGACAUAGAAAGAACCAAAAUACACAGCUGGAAAAUCAAGUAUACCAGAGAGAGAGAACGUCAACGUUUUAAGAUAAAAGCGCAAAAUUGUGUUUUAAUAAAAGUGUGACGAAUG